UACAGAGGGUGCGAGCGUUUAAUCGGAAUUACUGGGCGUAAAGCGCGCGUAGGCGGCUUUGCAAGUCGGGUGUAGAAUCCCAGCUUACCUGGACUGCAUUCGAGACUGCAUUGCUGAGAGUAUGGGAGAGGGAAGUGGAAUUUCCGGUGUAGCGGUGAAAUGCGUAGAUAGUCGGGAGAACACCAGUGGCGAAGGCGGACUUCCUGGGCCUGUUCUUGACGCUGAGGCGCGAAAGCUAGGGGAGCAAACGGG
rnacentral:rRNA from 1 species